GGGGGUAGCCAAAUGCCUCGU
rnacentral:misc_RNA from 1 species